rnacentral:lncRNA from 1 species
GACCUGCAUCCCUUCAUCCCUAGGGGCAGAGCAGGCUCCUCCCUUUCUGUCUUUGGGAAACCUGGAGGCAGGGUGUGUCUGAGGGUCUCCUGAGAGAGGUUUGUCCAAGACAAAGACUUAGCUGGCAGAAGACUCCAAAGGCAAGUUACCCCUACCAGUGAAAGCCCAGAUGCGGUGGGUGGCAAGACCCCUGGGGGCCAGGG